UACGAGGGGGGCAAGCGUUGUUCGGAAUUAUUGGGCGUAAAGGGCGCGUAGGCGGUGCGGUAAGUCACCUGUGAAAUCUCUGGGCUCAACUCAGAGUCUGCAGGCGAAACUGCCGUGCUGGAGUAUGGGAGAGGUGCGUGGAAUUCCCGGUGUAGCGGUGAAAUGCGCAGAUAUCGGGAGGAACACCGGUGGCGAAGGCGGUUCUCUGGGCCUGUACUGACGCUGAGGAGCGAAAGCGUGGGGAGCAAACAGG
rnacentral:rRNA from 1 species